rnacentral:rRNA from 1 species
CCGUAACUGACGCUGAGACACGAAAGCGUGGGUAGCAAACAGGAUUAGAUACCCUGGUAGUCCACGCCCUAAACGAUGCAUAUUUGGUGUGGGUCAUUCAGUUGAUCCGUGCCGGAGCUAACGCGUUAAAUAUGCCGCCUGGGGAGUACAGUCGCAAGGCUGAAACUCAAAGGAAUUGACGGGGGCCCGCACAAGCGGUGGAGCAUGUGGUUCAAUUCGACGCAACGCGAAGAACCUUACCUGGGCUCGAACGGCUGGUUACCGGCGGUGGAAACAUCGCUACCCCGCAAGGGGGUCCAGUCGAGGUGCUGCAUGGCUGUCGUCAGCUCGUGUCGUGAGAUGUUGGGUUAAGUCCCGCAACGAGCGCAACCCUUGUCCUGUGUUGCCAUCAUUCAGUUGGGAACUCGCAGGAGACCGCCAGCGAUAAGCUGGAGGAAGGUGGGGAUGACGUCAAGUCCUCAUGGCCUUUAUGUCCAGGGCUACACACGUGCUACAAUGGACGGUACAAAGCGCAGCAAACCCGCGAGGGGGAGCCAAUCGCAAAAAACCGUUCUCAGUUCGGAUUGCAGGCUGCAACUCGCCUGCAUGAAGCUGGAAUCGCUAGUAAUGGCAGAUCAGCACGCUGCCGUGAAUACGUUCCCGGGCCUUGUACACACCGCCCGU